rnacentral:rRNA from 1 species
GUCGGGAGUUAGGAAAUGUACGUCGACGAAUACUCGGCGUGCUUGACAAAGGCUCCUAAAAAAGCCACGGCUAAAUCCGUGCCAGCAGCCGCGGUAAUACGGAUGUGGCGAGCGUUAUUCGGAAUCACUGGGCUUAAAGGGCACGUAGGCGGCUUGGCAAGCGGAUGGUGAAAGCCCUCGGCUCAACCGAGGAAUUGCUGUCUGAACUGCUUGGCUUGAGGACGGGAGGGGAGAGUGGAACUUCUGGU